rnacentral:misc_RNA from 1 species
AAGGAUCAUUACUGAGUUUGGGUGCUUUUAUUGCACCGACUUUUUUUUUCACCCUUGCGACUCAACUAUUUUGCUUGGUGGGCCAGGUUUGCCCCGUUGAAUUUUUUCAGCGAGUGCCCGCCAAAGUUUUUUUUUUCCAAAAAAAUCUGCUGAAAACGUGGUCAUCUGAAUUUUUGCAAAUAUUAUAAUAACUAAAAAACUUUCAACAACGGAUCUCUUGGUUCUG